GACUUAGAGGAGGCCUUCUCAGACUUUACUGUGCCUCAGAUGCCCUGGGGAUCUUAAAAUGCAGAUGCAGAUUCAACGCGUUGGGCGCUGGGCCUAAAAUUGUGUGUUUUGAAUGGGCUCCCCAGGGGAUGCCAGCGCUGCUGGUCUGUGCAGGACAUUUUGAGGAGCAAGGAACUGGAGGACCCCUGCUGAUGUCCCUAGCCUCGUCUUCUGCUCCCUCCCCAACUCUGCUCCAGCCACGCUGAACUUGUGCUAGCUUCCAGAAUACGUCACAUGCUCGCUUACCACUGGGCCUUUGCACAUGCUCUGUCUCCCUAGAGCACGCUUACCCUGGCCUAGCUGGCUCCUGCUCCUAUUCCAGCUGAGCAGUGAAGGAUCCCUGAGGUAAGGACUCCAGUUGCCUUGAACUCUGUGAACAAGGUCAGCUGCACAACUGUGUGUCCUCAGGCCACCCAAAAGUCGUGUCAGAGAGCAGGGACAUUAAAAGGAUGAGAACUGUUUUCAGAAA